GCACAAGCGGUGGAGCAUGUGGUUUAAUUCGACGCAACGCGAAGAACCUUACCUACUCUUGACAUCUACGGAAGACUGCAGAGAUGCGGUUGUGCCUUCGGGAACCGUAAGACAGGUGCUGCAUGGCUGUCGUCAGCUCGUGUUGUGAAAUGUUGGGUUAAGUCCCGCAACGAGCGCAACCCCUAUCCUUAGUUGCCAGCGAGUCAUGUCGGGAACUCUAGGGAGACUGCCGGUGAUAAACCGGAGGAAGGUGGGGGCGACGUCAAGUCAUCAUGGCCCUUACGAGUAGGGCUACACACGUGCUACAAUGGUACGUACAGAGGGAGGCAAGCUGGCGACAGUGAGCGGAUCUCUUAAAGCGUAUCGUAGUCCGGAUCGCAGUCUGCAACUCGACCGCGUGAAGUCGGAAUCGCUAGUAAUCGCAAAUCAGAAUGUUGCGGUGAAUACGUUCCCGGGC
rnacentral:rRNA from 1 species